AGUGCAGGCCUUUCAGGCAUCCUCUCCUAAAAACUUUCACGGGCUGGCCUAUUUGGGCCGGCCCUUUUUUUGUGCCUCG
rnacentral:sRNA from 1 species